GAUGAACGCUGGCGGCGUGCCUAAUACAUGCAAGUCGAACGAGGUGCUUUUGUAGCAAUACGAGAGUAUCCUAGUGGCGAACGGGUGAGUAACGCGUUGGUGACCUGCCCCAAAGUGUGGGAUAACAGUCCGAAAGGACUGCUAAUACCGCAUGCGGUCAUCGGGUUUAGAAGCCGAUGACCAAAGCAGCAAUGCGCUUUGGGAGGGACCUGCGUCCCAUCAGCUAGUUGGUAGGGUAACGGCCUACCAAGGCUACGACGGGUAGGGGACCUGAGAGGGUGACCCCCCACAAUGGAACUGAAAUACGGUCCAUACACCUACGGGUGGCUG
rnacentral:rRNA from 1 species